CAAUGUUCCUUGUAACACUAUUA
rnacentral:snRNA from 1 species